rnacentral:antisense_RNA from 1 species
GCAUGCAGGUGAGAAGGGAAGAUACGUGUAAUCUGCAUGUCUGCCAACAUUCCUUGUUACCCUUUUUCAUAUCCCAUGAACACAGCACUCCAGCGGACCUACCCAAAAUAUGUGGGAGUUCAGUGAAACUCAAACCUAUACAGUCUCUGUCCUGGUGAGGAGCAUGAUCACCAACAGGCAAGAUCUUCUGGCCUCGAAGUUUCGCUUGAGCUAAAAGAGCUCAUCUCAGGACUUUCUGAAUUUUCAGCCCAUAUGACAUGGAAGAAGAGUUAGAAGGGGAAUCUGACUGCUUGGAUCAGGGACUGUCUGGCUAGUGGAACUUGAAUGUAUACAACACUCUUCAUUUUCAUGUUUUGACAUUUUAAAAAAUGUUUUCACUUUCCUUAUCUACUUUGACUCUAAUAACAUCCUGAAAGGUAAGUAGAAUUAUUCUCAUAAUAUGAUGAAGAACCCAAGGCUCUCAAGGGAACACCACUCUUGGAUUAUUUAGCCCCACUCUUCUACAAGAAUUGCAUACCCCAACCCCUGGAGCCCUCCCCAUAUCCAUGUUUCUGCCCUAUAAUCUGAUCCUUUCACCAAAAAUGUUUAGAUCAGGUACACACACCUGAACUAAAUUGGGACUAUCAGUUUCUCUCUCUUUAAAUUGCCCUGAGAAUUGAAACUCAGAGGAGCAAAAGUCUAAGUUUUGAGAGAUAACAUGUGUAAAAUGGCAGGAAUCCAAAUCCAUAGGCACAGUCCACAGAUUCCUGAAGCUAGGGGUUCUGGCCCGAACCUGGUUUUCAAUCUUCUCCCCUUAAGCCCUUCCUAGCUCUUUUAAACUCUUUGAAUUGCUUUAAGUAGCCCUAGUUGCUUAAACUAAAUUCUCCUUUUUUUGUAAAGGUACAUUGAAUUAGUUUCUGUUAUUUGCUAUCAAAAGAAUCUUACCUAAUAUGGGCACAGAGAUG